rnacentral:rRNA from 1 species
CCGUCAAUUCCUUUGAGUUUUAGUCUUGCGACCGUAAUCCCCAGGCGGAUCACUUAACGCGUUAGCUACGGCACAGCAGGAAUGAGUACCCGCUACACCUAGUGAUCAUCGUUUACAGCGUGGACUACCAGGGUAUCUAAUCCUGUUUGCUCCCCACGCUUUCGCGUCUCAGCGUCAGUUACCGUCCAGAAGGGCGCCUACGCCACUGGUAUUCCUCCCGAUCUCUACGAAUUUCACCUCUACACCGGGAAUUCCCCCUUCCUCUCCAGUACUCAAGAAAUGCAGUUUCCAAUGCACUUCCCAGGUUAAGCCCAGGGCUUUCACAUCAGACUUGCAUCCCCGCCUACACGCGCUUUACGCCCAGUAAUUCCGAAUAACGCUCGCACCCUCCGUAUUACCGCGGCUGCUGGCACGGAGUUAGCCGGUGCUUCCUCUGGUGGUACCGUCAAACCUCAACCGUUUCUUAUCAAGGCCUUUCUUCCCACCUGACAGGGCUUUACGACCCGAAGGCCUUCAUCACCCACGCGGCGUUGCUGCGUCAGCCUUGCGGCCAUUGCGCAAAAUUCCUCACUGCUGCCUCCCGUAGGAGU